GGGUUGUGAGGUUAAGCGACUAAGCGUACACGGUGGAUGCCCUGGCAGUCAGAGGCGAUGAAGGGCGUGCUAAUCUGCGAUAAGCGCCGGUAAGGUGAUAUGAACCGUUAUAACCGGCGAUACCCGAAUGGGGAAACCCAGUGUGACUCGUCACACUAUCAUUAACUGAAUCCAUAGGUUAAUGAGGCGAACCGGGGGAACUGAAACAUCUAAGUACCCCGAGGAAAAGAAAU
rnacentral:rRNA from 1 species